AGGAUGUUUUCUACCUGGAUAGCUACAUCAGCACCAUUGGUGUUGACUUCAAAAUCCACACUGUCGAACAAGAUGGAAAAACUAUCAAACUCCAGAUUUGGGCCACAACAGGUCAAGAGCGUUUCAGAACGAUCACCAGCAUUUACUACAUAGGAGCUGAUUGGUGAUUCUGGUGUUGGCAAAUCAUGCUUGCUUCUAAGGUUUGCUGUAAGUUAUUGCAUAUCUCUCUCUUUCUCUCUACUGGGACACUAUUACAUGUUCACCUAGAUAUCCGCACUGAUGGACACUGCAACGAAAUCCCAUACGUAUUUUCCCUAUUAAGCAACAACUCUAUCCUCUCGACGCUCAACUUCAGAAAAUAAUCAACAGCUACAAACUGCCGCCAGACCCCCACCCCUUCACUUUCGUGCUGAAACGUAAUGACCAUUCUCAUUCAGGACCACACAUCGACUGAACACCUUUCAAAUUCCCUAAGAAGGAGCCAUGUAUGAGCUCAUUGUUUCGAUGUUACAAAGGAUUCAUCAAAGCUUCAGACUCUCAGACUCACCAGUUUCUAUCGGAUUCACCGAUAAAACAUUUUUUAGAUUCAAAAACCAUCAACCUUACUCCUCCCGAAAUGUCCAGGUUCCGCACCUAUGACCAGCUGAUGUUACUGGGAUUGUUAGGUACUGUGUGCAGCUAUCGGUCUCAGAUGUCUCAGAGUCUACCGUGUUUGUCGCAUUCGAUGGUGAAAUGACGAAGCUGAUUAACGGCCAUGCUGCAGAGUAAUCAAAGCCUAGGUACAGCAGCCUGCUUACUUCAUCGAAGAUUGCUUCAUAAGAAAAAGGCCCGACAAAGACAAGACGACCAAAAGACCACUCAUUAACAUUGGUAGGACGCUACAUUUUCUUAAACAGAGACCAACGAUGAAGUUCAUGUUGCUGGAUAUUGCAGCAACACAAAUGAAUGAUUAGAAGCAGAAGCACACAUGUAAAUCUACCAAACCUUGCAAGCAUCUUUUACAUGCGAUGAAAUAAAAGAUAAUAAUGUGGCCUUGGUUGUU